rnacentral:rRNA from 1 species
AUGGCCACCUGCCUCUCAGACAUGAUUAGUGACCAUUCCCUUGACUUCCUGGGUCUGCGAGAAACUAUGAAGAAAGAGUUCACACCUAAGUGCUUGAGAAGAAUUGGCCCCUUUGACAUAUUCCAGUGGAAUUGAGUGCCUUCUAUGGGUAAAUCUGGGGGCAUUUUGUGUGGUGUGAGGAGAGAUACUUUUGAUAUAGUAUCCUGUGCUAAGGGAAAAUAUGUGUUACAACUAGUGUUGUAUGAAAAAAAGAAUAAACUACAGUGGGGUCUGCUGGUAGUUUAUGGAUCGGCACAUGAUGAGUUCAAAAAUGAAUUCCUGGUUGAGCUAGCAUCCUUUUGUAGUGGCAUGACCGUGCCCUACAUAGGGGGAGACUUUAAUAUCCUGAGACAUUCAGGGGAGAAGAAUAAGAAGAUGGUGAACAGCAAAGCCACUGACCUGUUUAACUCCAUUAUCAAUACAUUAGCUCUUGAAAUUCAUAUCAGUGGGGGGAAAUAUACCAGGACCAACAACCAGACUCAUCCCACACUAGACAAACUUGAUCGAAUCCUUAUGUCUGAAUGCUGGGAGGAUCUCUUCCCACUGGUCUCUGUGAGGAAAUUAGUUCGGGAGAUUUCUGAUCAUAACCCACUUCUGUUGUCCUCC